rnacentral:rRNA from 1 species
CCUACGGGAGGCAGCAGUGGGGAAUAUUGCACAAUGGGGGAAACCCUGAUGCAGCGACGCCGCGUGGGUGAUGAAGUUUUUCGGUAUGUAAAGCUCUUUCAGCAGGGAAGAAAAUGACGGUACCUGAUUAAGAAGCCCCGGCUAACUACGUGCCAGCAGCCGCGGUAAUACGUAGGGGGCAAGCGUUAUCCGGAUUUACUGGGCGUAAAGGGCGCGUAGACGGCAGCACAAGUCUGGAGUGAAAUGCCGGGGCUUAACCACGGAACUGCAUUGGAAACUGUGCAGCUAGAGUGCAGGAGAGGUAAGUGGAAUUCCUAGUGUAGCGGUAAAAUGCGUAGAGAUUAGGAGGAACACUAGUUGCGAAGGCGGCCUACUAGACUGUAACUGACGUUGAGGCGCGAAAGCGUGGGGAGCAAACAGGAUUAGAUACCCCGGUAGUC